rnacentral:rRNA from 1 species
UACGAAGGGGGCUAGCGUUGCUCGGAAUUACUGGGCGUAAAGCGCACGUAGGCGGCUCUUUAAGUCGGGGGUGAAAGCCCCGGGCUCAACCUGGGAAGUGCACUCGAAACUGCUUGGCUUGAGUACUGGAGAGGGAAGCGGAAUUCUCGGUGUAGAGGUGAAAUUCGUAGAUAUCGAGAGGAACACCGGUGGCGAAGGCGGCUUCCUGGACAGUUACUGACGCUGAGACGCGAAAGCGUGGGGAGCAAACAGG